rnacentral:misc_RNA from 1 species
CAACGCUGCUCCAAGAGCGAGCAAUUCAUCUGCUGCACCGCCUGUUACAACAGUUGCUAGUAGUUCAACUGCUGGUAUUCCUGCGACCGAUGAUUGGGGAUCAGCUGCCGAUGCCUGGUCAUCUGUUAAUGCCGCGAAAUCUACCACACCACAAGGAAAUAGUACCGCUGCAAAUUCUGGAGUUGGCAGACGAUACCCCAGUCCCUGUUAUGGAAACAAAGACGGGCAAAGUUUGUGUGGCCCUUCUGCUCUCAAAGUAGCUAAUGUGGAGCAUAUUGGCUCAAAGAAAAUUCUGCGUAUGCAAUCGUGAAACAAGAAUCUCUACUGGCAUCCCUAACGGCUUCAGCUUCAUCCUUGCAAAUUCCGGGAAGUGGUACAGAAGAUGCAAGAGUCUAAUAAUCAACUUAGAGAAGCGCUGCAGCGGGAGACCAACAAGCCGGUGGGGGAACCUCCCGAGGUCAUUGAUUACCAAAAGAUGUUUACUGAAACCAAAACUUUCUCAAAGACGAUCGAUCUGGAGCUGCGCAAGCUCGACGUUCAGCAGGCUUUACAACACGUGUCUUAUCUCUGCACGUACAUGCCAGACUCAUUCAUGGCCCGUGGAGGGGACUAUCACAGCGUGCAGCAAUUUCUCUUGAUGUCUAGACGGCUCUUCAAAUGCGACAUGCUUACCGCUCAAGUGAAAGAGAAGUUUCCCGGCUCGGCUGGGGAUUUGUCAAACACUCUCAAAUCUCCUGCGGCUGACCUGCUGACCAGUGCAUCUUUGGAGCCAGGAUGCUUCAUUGGCUCUUUUCACUCUAGGGAGUCGGUCACCAGUUCUCGUACGCGCUGAACAGCUGUUCCCGCAGCAGUUUCUCGAGAUGAGAACGCUUCAUUAUCAGGAGAUGCUGCAACAAGAGAAAGCCAUCGAUUUUUACGUGGAACUCUUGCGUAAAGAUCAGCUGGAUGAAAAUGUCCAGUUGGAUGCAUUGGAGAAGGUGGUCAAUUAUUUCAACAGCAUCUACGCCGUCCAGUUCAGCUCGGUCGUUAACGGUGCCGCUUUACUGACCGACCAUGGCAAAGUCCUGCUCGCCUCCUGCUGCGGAUUGACAGCUCUGGGUCCUCUCGGGGCGUUCAGGCAAUGAUUCAGGAAGCGACGUGGCGAAAUCCAUCAAGAAAGUUCUCAGUCAAGCAAACCAAUGGCAGCAAUACGCCCGUACUAUUAAGCGACGGUUGCCUCUGCUGAUUAUGCUAGGAAAUUGCCACUUAAUAUUCAACCCCCCCCCCUUCCUCCCCCCGAAAAAAGGAAUUAUAAAUUAACGGCUGUGUUAACACAACUAGAAUCGUUGUUUUCUUUCCGAAAAAGAAUACUCACCAUUAUUCCUCCCCCAUCACACAUAUAUAAUGUAGUCAUGUACAAACCAAAAACAUUCACUCCUCCCGGCCAUUUUUCUCUUUCCUUCUCUCUUUGGUCAGAUGUUAUAAUUAAUUAUGUGUGUUUAUAUUCUUAAUAUAAUUUCACACCUUCAUUGCCAAUUCAAGGAGUGGAGGUCCCUCCCUCAUCGUCAAAUCCUAACACGUACCUGAUUUCAUUUGAUAAAAUUUUUUUUCGUCUCUUCCUUUCUCUUGCCAUGUCGUGAUUGAUUAAUUUUUUUUAUAUAGGGAAGAAGAAAAAACAACCUUUCACUUUUUCGGACAUUCUGUAGGAUAAUAAAAUUAAUACAAUGUAAAAAAAAAUCAUUAA